GUUACUUGAGUAUCAAUUGCAUGAUUUUCUCUGUGUGUAAUUUGUGAAACUUGCAGUGCAAUAGCUUGUUGCACUCAUGUGAUCAAGAGGCAAAGGAAGGGAACGCACACUUUUUGACCGGUUCUUUGAUUCGACCCAACCGAGAGGUAUUGAGCCAAACACUCCUUUUCCUUCUAUGUGUGAUAUCCACUCAUGUAUUGUCUCUCGAUUUUGCUUGUCGUCUUUUUAUUUGAUUGGUACUUUUGUUGCAC
rnacentral:lncRNA from 1 species